AACGUAUUUUAAAUUUACCCGCUUCACUAAAUUGCCGAAAACAAAUUUCACACUGAUAAGGUUUUUCUCCAGUGUGCACUCUCAAAUGUCUUUUUAAAUUACUUGCUUGACCAAAUCGCUUAAACAAAUUUCACACUUGUAAGGUUUUUCUGCAGUGUGUGUUCUCAAAUAGGUCUUUUCAAACUACUUGCAUCACUAAAUUGCUUAAAACAAAUCUCACACUUGUAAGGUUUUCCUGCAGUGUGUGUUCUCAAAUAUGUCUUUUCAAACUACUUGCAUCACUAAAUUGCUUAAAACAAAUCUCACACUUGUAAGGUUUUUCUCCAGUGUGCACUCUCG